UCUGAACAAUCAGGGCACAUAUGGGAUUUUUUAGACAGGAGGAAAUGACGGAAUCUGGGCUCGGCCUGGGAAAAAUAAACAACCAAAUUGUUCAGUGAGGAAUAGAGGCAAGAGGAAAAUGUGAUUCUCUCUCUUUCUCUCGUUUUCACAAGCGUUGCCAGCUAACUACUUUGGCAGCCAGAGCCACGGAUAAUAAUAAUCAAACCUCUUUUUAAAGUCAAGGCAGAGCUGAGAUGCAUUUUCCUCCGCGUUGUUUGGCUGAAGAACUGCGUUGCAAAAUUCAAAGAAUUGUGACUUUCAAAGGAAGGUGUUUUGAUUUGCAUAAUUAGGCAGAUUAGAUCACCUCUCAUUUAAAAGCAGACUUCGUUGAACUUUUGUCUCACUCAUCCUCACAACUCCUUCCUUGGCCACCUCAAAAGUAAGGCAGGUGUGGUCUAAUCAAAACAUGUAACUGUUUAAUUCCUCUCAUUCAGUUGAAGAAGGCAAAUGGCAGGCUUGGCACACUGCUCCUCCUCUGCUCCAACAAGCCCAGUGAAUUCCCCCUGUGCUUCCGGUCGCAGCCGAGGAAAAAGUCAACAGAAAAGAGAAAGAACAACAGCCCUGUAGCUGACACAAGACGGGCUUGGUUUCCCCAGGUGCCCCUGAGGAUUCUCGCAUCACCUCUGCUGUUGACAGAUGGCUUUUGCUUUUCGCUUUUGAAUUUUGUGUCAAUGACUUUCCAGUGACUGGAAUACAUUAUGUUCUCGGGUCCCGCCCUGGCUCUCGAGAUGCUUUUAAUUUGUAGGUUUAAGCUUAAAUUCCUCGACGGGUGCCAACUUUUCUGUUUGUUUUCCUCGGGAGCGCUUUGCACUAUGGGUUUCGGUAACUGUUAACCGUUGGGGGGCAUUAAUUGCAGCUCCCGAGGUCAUCUUUCAGAGCUGACUUAUAUUUCUGUCGACACCAGAGUUGCUCCUCGACGACCUGCCUUUCUGCUGCGGCGCAGCUUUUUUUUGACUCCUGUAAUUACCCUCUGAAUUUAAGCUGAUUAUGUCGACUUUG